CCCAAGGGACCAGAGGUCAGCUAAGGGAUGUCCAGCAUCCCAGAAGGGCAGCUGGAGGCUUCUGAGUGGGGUGUGGAGUAGGGAGUCCUCUGUAAGAGGUCCAGCCAAGCCUGGAGAAUGGUCAGUAUUGACGGCAAGGCAGCAAGGAGGCGCAGCCUAGGCAACCAGGUGACUAAAGUUCACACAGCCCCAGGAGGGCCCUGGGCGGGGAGGUGGGAGGUGCUAAGAGCCUGGGAAAGGGGCUCCCCUUUCUCGGAUUUGGUCCCCUCCAAAGGGCAGAGGCCACCGGUGAGCCCUUCCAGAAAGCCCACCAAGACCCUCUGUGACUGUAGAGACAGACACAAUGUCCUUGAAAUGUUCCUGAGGCAGUGGAAUAGGGGUGCCCCCUGGCACUAGACCAUAGCCCAGAUCUAAGAGGUCUUGCUGUACUUUACUGGUCAGUGACAGAGGUAUGUUCCUGGAACAGAGCCUAAGGCCUCUGCGUCCAGACCGGUUCAACUACCAAUCAAGGAACAUUAGCUCUACAGGCUCAAUCAGUGACAGGAGCAACCUAGAAAGACAAGACCUGUUCUAAAGUCACACAACCCGGAGGGCAAUCCUGCCACCGAUUCCUGCCCCCAAAUUGCUGCACGUACCUGACAAGCUCACCAAUGAAGUUCCAACUAGACCCAGUUGUAGGUCUGCCUCAGGGGCAUCCUAAUCCCUCCUGGGAUCCUAAUCCCUUCCCCAUUGGCCAAGAGGAACAAUUCCCUGACUCCUGCACUCAGUGUGGUAGAUUCCCUGUCUCCAUUAGUAUACAAACCUCACAUGCCCAGAGAUGCUGAUGGCUGCUAUGCUGCUGGCGCGACCUCUCCAGACACCCCCCACAUCACACACAUGUAUCCUGUACACAUACAUACCACACACGUGUACACACAUGCACACACACUAAUACACACAUACACCUACUGCACACACACACACAUCACACACACCAGCACACACACACACACACACACACACACACACAUCACACAUACAUCCCGAGCUGAAUCUAGGCCAAGUAAAGCAGAUUCCCAAGAUACAGCAGAGAAGUAGGUACAAGAAAGACAGACCAACAGCCAGACCAGAACGUCUCUGCUAAUCUUGCUUGUCCACUGGAGUGUGUGGGCUGCUAUGAAGUCUCAAGGCCACAGGAGUCAAACAUACCCACCCACAAGAAAUGAAGUUUAAUAGCAACGCAUGCAUUUAACCUCAGCACAGGGUGAGGGGAGGGGAGGGGGCAGAGUCAGACUGGUCUUUGUGAGUUCAUGGUCAGCCAGAGCUAUGUAGGGAGACAUCUCAAAAAGAAAGAAAGAAAACAAAAAGAAAAGAAACCGAAGUUUAGCCGAAAGCAGUUUGCCUGGGAGGUCUGCAGAUCACACAUGGGCCAGGACACCCCAUUCCACUUUGUUUGUUUAUAAGGACAUCUAGGUACAAGAACACAGAUCUCUUUGGCCUCCAAGGCCUGUCUGUACUCUGACAGGACACUUACUUCUCCCAAAUCUAAAGUUAGGAUCUGCCUGAAGUUUGCUGCCCAAACUGGUGUGGACAGCAGAGGAUCAGAAAACACAAUUACAAUCCCCUUACACACACAUCUAUACCCCCUUACACACAUGCCUAUAUCCCAUUACACACACCUAUACCCUUUACACACACACCUAUACUCUUCCAAUGACUUGAAAAGUACUGCUUGCUGGGAACCUGAUGAAAGAGCUUAAAACACCUAGGCACAGACCUAGAGGUGACAGAGUAAAUAAUUCAUUGCACAACAGUCCCUGCCCCACCCCCAGCCCAAACCCAGAGAGGGGCAGGCAGGACUGGAGGGCGCUGUGCCUGUGGAAGGCUGACCAUCAUUCCUGUUCGGACUGUCAGCCCUUCCUGGGUCUCAGUUUCUUCAAACUCACUUCCGGGGAACCAGGGCCCAAUGUCUUCUUCUGAAGAGUCUGCGACCCCACCCUGAAACCCUUAACAACCACCCUACACUUGCAGAAGAAUGAGAGGAAAGCCUGGGCAGGCCCCCUCAAGCCCGACUGUCAGGCUACAAGAGUCAGCUCAUUCUGGAUGGGUCUGGUCCCAGACCCUUCUUAUCAUCUGAGGCCAUAGAUCAGAGAGGCAAGGGGACACCCGUGUCCUUUGGCUACCUGGCUACAACCUCUCAGAACCACACAGACCACACUGGCUGGAUUGAGGAGUCCUCAAAUGGGGUCCUGUCAUCCCACGGGUUGGUACCACUCGGCACUCACCUUUGAUGUGAGUGGAACCUGAGCCAAGUGUGUGGUUCUCCAGAACCGUCGGCAUUCAGCAGCAGUACCGGCCUGGUACCUGAAUCCAAGUCUGAGCCGCGGGCUGGGUCAGAUGCCCAAGGUCAACAUGCCUAAACCUGAGCAAGCAACUGCCCUCCUCAGACCUCUUACCAGCCACAAAAGCCAGAGUCCAGCCCCUCAGAGGCCUUCACUGGUCCCUUCCAAUUGGAGCUAUCUGUGACCUCCUCCAAGCCACACCUAAUACCCUCCCCCCACCCUCCCCUAUGGGCCACUCCUAUCACCUGGUGACACCCAGUCAUAGGUUAUAACGUUGCUGUCUCUCUAAUGGAACUCCAGGACUGUUCAACAUGUAAAUUAGAACUUUCCUCUCCCACUGGAAAACCCUUCAAAGGCCCCCUUUGCCCUGCAGAGAAAUUCUUGCUUUGCUCGUGCCUGCCCUGCCUUCUCUCUGCACUCAAUGCUCCUGCCAGGUCAUUUUACAGGCUACUACCUUGGCCCAUCCUUCCGGCAUAGCCCUACCUCAACACUACCUUCCCCCGUCUUUAUUUGUGCUCAGCUCUCUGGGCAAACUGCCACUCCCGCUUCCUCUGCUAUAGUCUGGGCAGCAUUCACAGCCCCCAGCCAUCGCUCCGGAAGGGAUUGACGCUAGCUGAGGGGUGCAUGGGUGGGCUCAUUGGAAAGCCGUUAAGAGGCGCUAGCUAGGUGUGGCUCAAAGGUAGAAGGAUGGCCAAGCAUGCAAAAGACCCUGGGAUCAACUAUCAGCACCAAAAGAAGAAAGAAUGCUACACAGGAUUAAUUACUUAGAAAAUAAAAGCACACUUAUGCAGCGCUGCGCCAUGCAGGCUCUUUUUACUCAUAUCUCUAAUCUUAAAAUGCCUUUGUCAUUUCACAGACAAGGAAACUGGGGUUUGUGGAGGUUUCUGUGGCGUGUUCUUUUCCCCGCCACCAAGUUCAUCCCCACCAGGGAGCUCAGGGUAUGCCCUUAUUUAGAAACAGAGUCUUCACAAGGUAAUUGGUUAAGAUGAGAUCAUACUGGAUUCAGGUAGGCCCUAAAUGCAGUAAUUAGUGGUCUUACAAAGAUGGCCGUUCGAGCAGCUGCACAGGGAAGAGAGCCCUGUUUAGACGGAAGCUGAGGUUG